rnacentral:lncRNA from 1 species
AGCUGGAUGCCUUCUUUGACCUGACGGGCUCGCGGGUGCCACUGGGCAGCGGGCGGUCGAGCCCCUUUGUUAACACAGGCUCCUAUGCGGAUGCUCUGCAGAACCAGGGCAUCUUCGGGACCAUGGGGAAAAUCAACGCAGAGGAAAUCCAGCGCACGGUGCAGAAGAUCAUGGAGCAGUACACGUCCACCCUGAAGAACCCCAGCGGCUAACGGCGCCCAGGGGCUUGAGGACACGGCCAGGAGUUGCUGCCCACUGCACGGAUGGCAAACCCCAACCGGGAGCGAGCAGCUGGCACCGUAACCACCGUCCUCCCCCACCCCAGGGGGGCCACCAGCAUGGCCGGGGGCCAAGGCCACCCUCCCUGUCCCCUUCCACGAGCCCCCACACUUGUCACCCCCAUGCGCAUGUACCUGCAUGCUUGGCGACAGGGCUGUAAAUACAGGCGGCCCUGAGCACCGGCACAGCUCGUCACACGUGUGAGCGGG